rnacentral:rRNA from 1 species
AAUAGAUACCCGGGUAGUCCACGCCGUAAACGAUGAGUGCUAAGUGUUAGAGGGUUUCCGCCCUUUAGUGCUGCAGCUAACGCAUUAAGCACUCCGCCUGGGGAGUACGGCCGCAAGGCUGAAACUCAAAGGAAUUGACGGGGGCCCGCACAAGCGGUGGAGCAUGUGGUUUAAUUCGAAGCAACGCGAAGAACCUUACCAGGUCUUGACAUCCUCUGCCAACCCUAGAGAUAGGGCGUUCCCCUUCGGGGGACAGAGUGACAGGUGGUGCAUGGUUGUCGUCAGCUCGUGUCGUGAGAUGUUGGGUUAAGUCCCGCAACGAGCGCAACCCUUGAUCUUAGUUGCCAGCAUUCAGUUGGGCACUCUAAGGUGACUGCCGGUGACAAACCGGAGGAAGGUGGGGAUGACGUCAAAUCAUCAUGCCCCUUAUGACCUGGGCUACACACGUGCUACAAUGGAUGGUACAAAGAGCUGCGAACCCGCGAGGAUAAGCGAAUCUCAUAAAGCCAUUCUCAGUUCGGAUUGU